rnacentral:rRNA from 1 species
AAGUUUUUAAAAGCAUUAAAUGGAUGCCUAAACAUCAAAAAAUGGACGUAUACCAACGAAAUAUUGUAGCGAGUAUAUAUAAUGUGCUGGGACUUACAAUUUUCCAAAACGGAAAACCGUCUACAACAGUGUAGUUAAAAAAAUUUAGUGAAUUGAAUCAUCUUAGUAACUAAAUACAAAAUAAAUCAACCGAGAUACCGUUAAUAGUGGCGAGCGAACGCGGUUUAGAUAUAAAUUAAUUAAAAUUUAGUUGAAUUUUUUAAAGCCAUAGAAGGUAAUAGCCCUGUAAAUUACGUUUUUUUAAUUUUUAACAGUAGAAAGGUAAAUGAUAUGCUUUUUGAAAAUUGGGGGACCACCCUCAAAAUCUAAAUUUUUUUUGAUGCUUGAUAGUGAAAAGUACCGUGAGGGACUGGUGAAAAAGAAUUUGUGAAUUUGAAAAGAUCCUGAAAUUUAAUGCUUACAAGCAGUUGAAGCUUAUUUUUAAAAGUGACAGCGUACCUUUUGUAUAAUGGACCAACAAGUUUAUUUUAGUGGCGAGCUUAAACAGUUAUAAAAGUGUAGGCGAAAAGAAAUUAAGUUUUAAAUAACGAUAUAGUCUCUAGAGUAAGACCCGAAACUAAGUGAUCUAACCAUGAACAGGUUGAAGUUUUUGCGGUAACGCUAAAUGGAGGACCGAACCCGUGUAUGUGGCAAAAUACUGGGAUGAUUUGUGGUUAGGGGUGAAAGGCCAAUCAAACUUAGAGAUAGCUGGUUUUCUGCGAAAUCUAUUUAAGUAGAGCAUUUAAAAACUUUAUUUUAGGGUAGAGCUCUCGUUAACUGAUAGGGAUGAAAGUCUUAUUGAAUUUAAUGAAACUUCGAAUAUAAAAUAAAAGAUUUUAAAUAGACAGACUAUGGGUGCUAAGAUCCGUAGUCGAAAGGGAAACAGCCCAGAUUAAUUGCUAAGGCCCCAAAAAAUAAUUAAGUGAAAAAAAUAUGAAAAAGUAAAGACAAUCGACAGGUAGGCUUGGAAGCAGCCAUCCUUUAAAGAAA